rnacentral:rRNA from 1 species
AACGAACGCUGGCGGCAUGCCUAACACAUGCAAGUCGAACGAGACCUUCGGGUCUAGUGGCGCACGGGUGCGUAACGCGUGGGAACCUGCCCUUAGGUUCGGAAUAACUCCCCGAAAGGGGUGCUAAUACCGGAUAAUGUCUUCGGACCAAAGAUUUAUCGCCUUUGGAUGGGCCCGCGUUGGAUUAGCUAGUUGGUAGGGUAAAGGCCUACCAAGGCGACGAUCCAUAGCUGGUCUGAGAGGAUGAUCAGCCACACUGGGACUGAGACACGGCCCAGACUCCUACGGGAAGCAGCAGUGGGGAAUAUUGGACAAUGGGUGAAAGCCUGAUCCAGCAAUGCCGCGUGAGUGAUGAAGGCCUUAGGGUUGUAAAGCUCUUUUACCCGGGAUGAUAAUGACAGUACCGGGAGAAUAAGCUCCGGCUAACUCCGUG